UAAGGAAUAUUGGUCAAUGGAGGCAACUCUGAACCAGCCAUGCCGCGUGAAGGAUUAAGGCCCUCUGGGUUGUAAACUUCUUUUAUAUGGGAAGAAAUGUACUUUUUCUAAAGUGCUUGACGGUACCAUAGGAAUAAGCACCGGCUAACUCCGUGCCAGCAGCCGCGGUAAUACGGAGGGUGCAAGCGUUAUCCGGAUUUACUGGGUUUAAAGGGUGCGUAGGCGGAUGAAUAAGUCAGUGGUGAAAUCUCCGAGCUUAACUCGGAAACUGCCGUUGAUACUAUUUGUCUUGAAUAUUGUGGAGGUAAGCGGAAUAUGUCAUGUAGCGGUGAAAUGCUUAGAUAUGACAUAGAACACCAAUUGCGAAGGCAGCUUGCUACACAAUCAUUGACGCUGAGGCACGAAAGCGUGGGGAUCAAACAG
rnacentral:rRNA from 1 species